UGAGAUCACACUUAUUGCUG
rnacentral:miRNA from 1 species